AAAUAAAAAAAACAAAAAAAUCUUGCUUUUAAAAGGAUUCACAAAUUGGGAGUGCCACUCGUCGUCGAAUCGGAGGAAACAGUAUAUGUCGCACGAAGGAAGUCGGCAACAAGAAAAACCGGUCGACUCUAAUACGAUAACCAUUUCGUAUCUGUCAUUUUUCCAAGGCCGAUACCUGUUGAUCCCUUUUACGCGUUCCCUUUCCACCUACUACGUUUUAUCAAUUUCCACAACAAUCGAGCAAAGUUCUUUCUUAAGAAACAACGAUAAAACACUGCCAUGGCCGAUGAUUUCGAGAUUGUGCGUGCCACAUGAUUUAACCGAAAGAAUCACAAGUACACGCGAAUCCACUUAGAAGUUGACCACAGGAGACGUCUGAAACCAAUGGCAAAGUGGAUAGGCAGGUUUUCUAUCAGAGACUGUCGAUCGGAGAAAAACUUGUCGCGAUCGACGUUAACCCCUUGCACUUUUGUCCCUCUUUUGGUUUAACAUGUUAUAUCUUAACGCGAAUUAUACGUAUAUCGUCCAGCUUUUCUUCUCCUUUUCCCCCUUUGUCCGAUCGAUCGUGGUUAUUUCCAACUUUUCUUUCUAUUACCCGUUCAACGAAAAGACCAGAUAUUUCAACUACUCGGAACGUAAUACGUACAUCUUAGAAGGUUGGCUGUUCGGAUGAAGAUCACAUUGAUAGAAAGUCGGAUCGGGAUUAUUAUCCUCUCGCUUCUUGUUACUUGCAACAAUGUAAGGAACGGCGAAUAGAUAGAAUAGAUACAGGUAUACGCGGAAAAGCAGAUAACCACGAUGCGGAACAAGAUUGUUCUCAGAUUUACAGAGAUAAGAGAUUUCCGAUACGAGGUUUGCGAGUCGCUUUGGGGACUGAAUGAGUCUUGGAACUCGAGGGAAUUUGCGCUGCCUCCUAACUUUCCCAGAGUGAAAAAAAAAAAGAAAAUCGAGUUCAAAGGUGGAUUAAGAGGAAAAAGAGUAAGAAGCCACCGUCUGCCAUUGAACGAUCGAACCACGCUGCUGUAUCUCGUCUAGACUUUCAUGAUACGCCAACAGCACGAUGAAAUAAUAUUUAUUAUGAUUGUCAAGACAGGCGGAAGAAUAGAGUUUGCGGUUUAACAUAAUUGCUCCGUGCGUAUCACAAUAAUAUUAAUUAGUAACUUUUUAUAGGCAUCACGAUGCGUGGAAUCAAAUGUUUACAGGGACUACAGGUCACAGACUACAGAGUACAGAGGGAAUUCUUUCGCAUUGCAUAAUUACGUUGCAAUUAGAGUAGGUACAACCGCGCGUCGGCGGAGACAGGAAAAGGAAACGUCAAACCAAAGAUACCUACGUAGCCCUAAAGACUUUAUUUCGAAAGCGAUCAAACGUUUGGUACACAGCGCCAACUAUUGACGAUAGGAUAACGUAAGUACGAUUCAAUGAAUCUAUUGGAUUUUUCACGAUUUAACUAUCUCAAUUCAAAUAUUCCAUUACACCAGCUUCAAUAUUCCAACUCACUCACAACUUCUUUUUAUUCUUUGCGUCAAUUUUAACACGUUACCUAUGAUAAGUGAAAAAAGAGCAUGUGAACGAUGCGAUUUUAUACCUGAAUAUACACGAGUUCCCUUUUUUUAUUUUCGAUACAACAAUGCGUAAAUUUAACUAUUUUUCGAUACAUCUCGGAUAAAGUCGUACCACCGAAUUGUAGCUUCAACUUUGCA